UACGGAGGGUGCAAGCGUUAUCCGGAUUCACUGGGUUUAAAGGGUGCGUAGGUGGAGAGGUAAGUCAGUGGUGAAAUCUCCAAGCUUAACUUGGAAACUGCCGUUGAUACUAUCUUUCUUGAAUAUCGUGGAGGUGAGCGGAAUAUGUCAUGUAGCGGUGAAAUGCUUAGAUAUGACAUAGAACACCGAUUGCGAAGGCAGCUCACUACACGAUCAUUGACACUGAGGCACGAAAGCGUGGGGAGCAAACAGG
rnacentral:rRNA from 1 species